rnacentral:rRNA from 1 species
UCGGGAAUUUUGGGGAAUGGGCGAAAGCCUGACCCAGCAACGCCGCGUGAGGGAUGAAGUAUUUCGGUAUGUAAACCUCGAAAGAAUGGGAAGAAUAAAUGACGGUACCAUUUAUAAGCUCCGGCUAACUACGUGCCAGCAGCCGCGGUAAUACGUAGGGAGCAAGCGUUGUUCGGAUUUACUGGGCGUAAAGGGCGCGUAGGCGGCGCGGUAAGUCACUUGUGAAAUCUCUGAGCUUAACUCAGAACGGCCAAGUGAUACUGCUGUGCUAGAGUGCGGAAGAGGCAACCGGUAUUCUUGGUGUAGCGGUGAAAUGCGUAGAUAUCAAGAGGAACACCUGAGGCGAAGGCGGGUUGCUGGGCCGACACUGACGCUGAUGCGCGAAAGCCAGGGGAGCAAACG